AAGGAUUUAAGUUAAAAAAACUAUUAACCUUCAAAGUUGAAAUUAGACAAGGCUCUAAGCCUUA
rnacentral:tRNA from 1 species